CAGAGACUGCUGAGAGACACAGAGCAGUGCCCAGGACUGCCGUGGCCUUGCGUGUUUCCGUGUGACUUGAAUCACGCUGAUUUCCUCCACCUGGCCUGCUCUUCCCGCUUCUGUGCAGGUCAAACAGCACCUCCCACGGGAACGUUCCCGACUGCUUCCUGUCUCCUUCCAAGCAAAUCCACCACUCUGGGUUCCUAGAAGAGCUCGGCGCUUGCUUCCUCUGCCUUUGCUGCAUGUCAUUAUUACAGUGCAGCACACGUCUCACGGGGCUGUAAGAGUUUGCGAACAGUGACUGUGCCUUUCACUUCUGUGACAGAGGGAGCAGCUGAGCUCCACCACGGAGAGCACAGAGUGCAAGGAGAAGAGGAUGCAGAGGACACGUGGCUCCUCUGAGAAGCAGCAGGGGAGGCGCGCAAGGAAAACUGGGAGAGGCAUUUCACAGAAGCAAAAGGAGGGCAGGGACAGAAAGAGUGGUCACAAUGUCAAAUGCUACUGAAAGGCUGAGUGUGACAAAGUUUCAAAUGUGUCCCGGCAGGCCACUGGUCACCUUGGGGAGAGCAAGUCAAGUAGGGCAGCAGACACAACCGAGACUGCAGGGUACUGACGGCAAGUGGGAGGUGAGGCCUGAAACGGUGGGAAAGUCUUACUCGUCUAAGGAGCAUCUGCUUGCUAUGGUCUGAAAGAACCUUCAAGAAAUGGCUGCAGAGCGAAGUAAGCCAGUUACAAGUGGGAUUGCAUUGGGACUAUCCAAUUCAGCAUCCUGCUCCCCUGCUUUGGUUCCUACAUGGCAUACAGCCUGAGUAUCACCCUGUGCUGCACCGCAUGAUGGAUCGGUGGUCUGCAGAAAACAAAGCGCCCAUGAAGGACCGUGAAGACAGGUAACGAUGUGGAAAUCACUCUUGCACAACAUCUUUUCACUCCAACAAUGACGACAGACCCAGGCAGCUGUCCUUUUGGCCUUCUGGAGUUUGAACAGUUACCACACGCUGCAAUAAUGUCCCAUUAACAUAUGCCCACUGGCUUUCUCUAGUGCAAUCUAAAAAGAACUAAAUCAUUAACAUUUUCAAAACAGAUUGGUUCCUCUUUUGUCUGGAUUAUGGAGUUGUUUGUU